rnacentral:rRNA from 1 species
AUUGAACGCUGGCGGCAGGCUUAACACAUGCAAGUCGAGCGAGCGGCGGCCGGGUGAGUAAUGUCUUGGAAACUGCCUGAUGGAGGGGGGUAACUACUGGCAAUGGUAGCUACUACCGCAUACCAUCAGAUGUGCCCAGAUGGGAUUAGCUCGUAGGUGGGGUAAUGGCUAACCUAGGCGACGAUCCCUAGCUGGUCUGAGCGGAUGACCAGCCACACUGGAACUGAGACACGGUCCAGACUCCUACGGUAGGCAGCAGUGGGGAAUAUUGCACAAUGGGCGCAAGCCUGAUGCAGCCAUGCCGCGGGUGUGAAGAAGGCCUUCGGGUUGUAAAGCACUUUCAGCGAGGAGGCGUUACUCGCAGAAGAAGCACCGGCGAACUCCGUGCCAGCAGCCGCGGUAAUAC